rnacentral:rRNA from 1 species
UAGGGAAUUUUCCGCAAUGAGCGAAAGCUUGACGGAGCGACACAGCGUGCAGGAUGAAGGUCUUCGGAUUGUAAACUGCUGUUGUAAGGGAAGAAAAAAUUUAAUAGGAAAUGAUUAAAUCUUGACGGUACCUUAUUAGAAAGUGACGGCUAACUAUGUGCCAGCAGCCGCGGUAAUACAUAGGUCACAAGCGUUAUCCGGAAUUAUUGGGCGUAAAGAGUUUGUAGGCGGUUUAUCAAGUCUAGAGUUAAAGCCUGAGGCUCAACCUCAGUCCGCUCUGGAUACUGGUUAACUAGAGUUAUAUAGAGGUAAACGGAAUUCUUAGUGAAGCGGUGGAAUGCGUAGAUAUUAGGAAGAACACCAACGGCGAAGGCAGUUUACUGGAUAUACACUGACGCUCAAGAACGAAAGCGUGGGGAGCAAACAGGA